rnacentral:tRNA from 1 species
GCAAUGGUGGUUGAGCGGUAGAAUUCUCUGCUCUCACGUAGGAGACCCAGGUUCAAUUCCUGGCCAAUGCA